AGCUGAAUAAACAGCAAUCGAUCUCUCUGGUUUUGAUCGUCAACGUGAACAGACGCGUUUUUAUAAACCGAAAUCCCCGAGUAAUUUCAUCUUUAACAUUGGCGACGAGGAUAAAUCAUUCCAAUUCGUAAAGUGACGCGUGUUGUGCGAGAAGUACAGGCCGAAAUUUUUUGCUACAGAGUUGUGUACGGGCGUUGUUUUGGCAGUUUCGUUAGCGUUGGACGAGCGCCGAGAGGGCGAAGUUUUUUUUUGCCGGAUUGGUGGAUUUGGAAAAACUAGCACGCCGGUUGUAAGGCAACGCUUACAGAAUCGGCGUGCGCUAAACUGAGGCUUAGCUUAAGCUGAAUUGAGCUACAUUUAGCUGAUUGGAGUUUAGAUUAUUUGAGAGAUACGAGUGGCCAUUUACGACGUCGUGCAUUGAAAAGUUGGAUAGAUCGUUGCAGUUGGAUAAAUAGCGGUUGAAUAUUGCCGGACAGCUGCUGUUGGCGUCUUUAACGAUUGUGCGGAAUACGGAAGUCCUUCAGCAAUGGCGUAAUGAGGACCAUCGACCUAUACGUUGCAGAUCAUCCGGAUAGGCAGCUACAAGUUUUUCAGCAGAAAGCUCCAGUUCAGAAGGUUUAGUGUUGAUGUCGGACAAAAAACCAAACUAGUUGGGCGCUUUUCGUUCAUCGAGAGCAUCAAUCAGUUUAUCAAUCGCUGGUAGAAUGCCUUUAUUCUUGAAUUUCUCCUCUGUAGAAAUCUGUGUCGAUGCGGUUAUCAUCUUAACACCAACGAGGUUGAGCCGAACGUUUGGUACUCGUACACCAACCACCUCGUAUUUUUCAUUCCUCGACAAUUGACUUAUAGCUAUAUUUAUAUUCCAAGAGAAUCCAAGGUGAACUCUAAUGAAUGUUAUUGUGAUAUUGGC